rnacentral:rRNA from 1 species
GACGUAGGGUGCAAGCGUUGUCCGGAUUUACUGGGCGUAAAGAGCGCGUAGGCGGUCUUGUAAGUGUGAAGUGAAAUCUCCAGAGCUCGACCCGGAAACUGCUUUGCAUACUGCGAGACUUGAGGGAUGCAGAGGUUUGUGGAAUUCCUGGUGUGGCGGUGAAAUGCGUUGAUAUCAGGAGGAACACCCAUGGCGAAGGCAGCAAACUGGGCAUCAUCUGACGCUGAGGCGCGAAAGCGUGGGUAGCAAACAGG